rnacentral:rRNA from 1 species
GAAUGCAUCGAGCUGNAAAGCUCCGGCGCUCAAGGAUGGGUCUGCGGCCUAUCAGGUAGUAGUGGGUGUAGCGUACCUACUAGCCUACGACGGGUACGGGUUGUGAGAGCAAGAGCCCGGAGAUGGAUUCUGAGACACGAAUCCAGGCCCUACGGGGUGCAGCAGGCGCGAAAACUUUACAAUGCUGGAAACAGCGAUAAGGGGACCUCGAGUGCCAGGUUACAAAUCUGGCUGUCGUGAUGCCUAAAAAGCAUUGCAUAGCAAGGGCCGGGCAAGACCGGUGCCAGCCGCCGCGGUAACACCGGCGGCUCGAGUGGUAACCGUUAUUAUUGGGUCUAAAGGGUCUGUAGCCGGCCGGAUAAGUCUCUUGGGAAAUCUGGCAGCUUAACUGUCAGGCUUUCAGGAGAUACUGUCUGGCUCGAGGCCGGUAGAGGUGAGAGGUACUUCAGGGGUAGGGGUGAAAUCUUGUAAUCCUUGAAGGACCACCAGUGGCGAAGGCGUCUCACCAGAACGGACCUGACGGCAAGGGACGAAAGCUAGGGGCACGAACCGGAUUAGAUACCCGGGUAGUCCUAGCCGUAAACGAUACUCGCUAGGUGUCGGCAACGGUGCGACCGUUGUCGGUGCCGUAGGGAAGCCGUGAAGCGAGCCACCUGGGAAGUACGGCCGCAAGGCUGAAACUUAAAGGAAUUGGCGGGGGAGCAC